UACGGAGGGUGCAAGCAUUAAUCGGAUUUAUUGGGCGUAAAGGGCGCGUAGGCGGAAGUGCCAGUCAGAUGUUAAAGCUCGGGGCUUAACCUCGAAAGAGCAUUUGAUACUGCACAUCUAGAGGGUAGACGGAGAAAAUAGAAUUCCACAAGUAGCGGUGAAAUGCGUAGAUAUGUGGAGGAAUACCGGUGGCGAAGGCGGUUUUCUGGACAGUGACUGACGCUGAGACGCGAAAGCGUGGGGAGCAAACAGG
rnacentral:rRNA from 1 species